UGCGUAGGUGGCGCGUUAAGUCCGUUGUGAAAUCCCUGGGCUCAACCCAGGAACUGCUUCGGAUACUGGCGUGCUUGAGGCCGGUAGGGGUCACUGGAACUGACGGUGGAGCGGUGAAAUGCGUAGAUAUCGUCAGGAACGCCGAUGGUGAAGACAGGUGACUGGGCCGGAACUGACACUGAGGCACGAAAGCGUGGGGAGCGAACGGGAUUAGAUACCCCGGUAGUCCACGCCCUAAACGAUGCAGACUAGACUGCAGCGGGUUACACCCCGUUGCGGUCGGAGCGAAAUUGUUAAGUCUGCCACCUGGGAAGUACGGUCGCAAGGCUAAA
rnacentral:rRNA from 1 species